UUGGCGGCGGUGAUGACCAAAAAAUACCUACCUAUUUUCUGACUCCUGAUUGAGUGAAACCAAUGAAUGAAUCCUUCUGAGCCUGCCA